CAAGGUCUUGCUCUGUAGCCAAGGAUGGAGCACAGUGGCGCAAUCUCAGCUCACCGCAGCCUCCACCUCCCAGGCUCAAGCGACCCUCCCACUUCAGCCUCAGGAGUAGCUGGGACCACAGGCUCUUCGUCUGUCUACACUCUGGGAGCCGGAAGGCCGGGAUGAGGAAGGCUUUUCUAGCAAGAGUCUUUUAGGAGACACAGGCCACGAUACUGUCAACAUAGGAAAAUGUGCAACUCCUGCGUCCCACCGUAAAACUCGAAGACGUCAAAAUACAUUCUUGAUUCUGCUCCACAAAGGGAUGUUUCCAUGGCGAUAUUUUCAAACAACAGAAAGUUCACGGCCGAUGGCGGUUACAGCUCAUGGAACUGAUGGGCAGGGCCGGGUGCAGCUUUGUAGCACGGCUGCUGCUCACAGAUUCUCUUCCAUUUGACUAAAAACCAUGCUGUCCACACCAAACAUCUGGCCUCAUCCGGAUGUUCAAAGCCAUGAAAUACAGCACUUCUGGCCAAGAAGUCUAAAUCACAGCCGAUCUACACGAGGCGGAUGGUCCACAACGCCAAGUUCCUACCCGGGCACUGAGCUCAACGCUCGCACAACUCCAAACGAGGGCGCAACCAUAUUCCCACUGACAUCCUCCUUGGGGCAGCAAGACAAGCUCCGAACAGCCUGUCCUGGGCCAACAAGAGAAGCUGGCGGGCGCCCGCUGAGCACUGUGAGCCAUCUUGUGGUGAGACUGGCUUCUCCUUCCAAUCUCCAGGUUUCUCUCUCUUUCUGCC
rnacentral:lncRNA from 1 species